CAGCUUCGCAGGCAAAUCCCAGAAACCUUUGCAAAAAGCUUGCAAUGAAAUUUAAGAAGUUCUUCGAUUUCGGCGCCAUUUUCGAGUGGAGCCAGAGGUGAUGUUUGGGGUGUGGGGGACGAAGGCAUAUGCAAAAUUAAAAGACAAAACGUUGUAGAGUAUGAACAGAGGAAGAGGCGUAUUCUUUGGCUCUUAAAUCAUUUAGCCAAACACAUUGCAGUUCAGAAGGGGGUGGGGCUAUGGCAACUCGAAAGUAUCGAUUCUUUGUCUAUUGUAUCAGCGAAUGACCCUCUCCUGAAGUGACAAGACGCCCCUUUGUAAUCUCUUUUCGUAAGUAAAUUUCAGUCUAAGGGGAAAUCGAGGGGAUACAGCAGCAAUUCAUGUUUUGAAGUGUUCUAAAUGGUUCAAAACGUGAGGCGCUGCUAUACCCCCUCGUGGGGAAGGUAGAAGGUGGGGACAACGAAGAAAACCUAUCUUCAGUCCCCACCCACGAAAUGCUGGGGGGUGGGGAGGACUGGAAAAGGAGUAAGGGGAGAGGAAGGGUGAGCAGCUGCAAGAAGUCUUCACACCUCUCUGCGGUUCCUGGUAAACGCGCUCAUGUCCUGAAGGAAGCCCGGUGCCAGCCAGCCUUCCUGAAAGACCAAGCCCGCGCCAUCCGGCUUCCUCCAGUGGACGCCUGCAGGACCCAGAAUGUUUUUCUUGAAGGCAUCCAGCAUCUCCAGUUAGCAGUACUGAUUUUUUUCCCCCCAACAAAGGAACACUACAUCAACACUCUUGGCGGGGACCUGGACACAGAAGACUCCUGUUUCAAGAAAAUACAAUCAUCUCUCAAAGGCUGUAAUUUAUAUGCAUUUUAAAACUCUAGGCAUUGAAAACCACCCAAGUGUCCCAAAUAGAAGGGUAAUAUAUAAUCAAUCACUCAGUGUAAUAUUAUACAUCCUUUAAAAAUGUUAUUGGGAAAUGUUUUAUGAUCUGUAAGUCCAAGGAAUCCUCUCCCACCAUUUCUUUCUCCCCGCUGUUCCCCAUACCCACACUUCUUUGUUCCAAUUGGCAUGGAAAUUUGGUUUUCCCGCCAAAUGAGUCAGUCAUGAUGGGAACCUCAACUGAUUUGAACAGAUGUGUGUCAAUGUUACUUGGAAAACUAGAUGUCAAUAACCAGGGUCACAGAAAAAGGCAGUGGUCACAACUCUGUAAAAAUGUAUGCAUGCACACAGACAAGGACUAAAGUGGAACCCCACACAGGAAAACAGUGGGCUGUACUCCAGUGCUGGGACAUUGAAUGACUGUAUGCUGCUUUUGAUUUCCGUUAAUAUGGGCAACUGUCCAAUUAAAAAAAAAAACUCCUAAGGACUCUGCAGUGCAAAUUGUUUUGCUGAUUGUUUUAAAACACCAUACCUAUCAACUCAUCAAGGCAAAUGGGGCAGCGGGGGACUGGGUUCGUUCCCUGAAUCCUGGACUGCUAUAGAGCUCAGGGCAACAUUUGCAGAAAACCUGAGCCUGUGAGAUGGGAGUUAUAGGCAGCUUUCCUGAGGCUGUGUAAAAUGAAAAUAAA
rnacentral:lncRNA from 1 species